UACGUAGGGUGCAAGCGUUGUCCGGAAUUAUUGGGCGUAAAGAGCUCGUAGGCGGUUUGUCGCGUCUGCUGUGAAAACUCGGGGCUUAACCCCGGGCCUGCAGUGGGUACGGGCAGACUAGAGUGCGGUAGGGGAGACUGGAAUUCCUGGUGUAGCGGUGAAAUGCGCAGAUAUCAGGAGGAACACCGGUGGCGAAGGCGGGUCUCUGGGCCGUAACUGACGCUGAGGCGCGAAGGCGUGGGGAGCGAACGGG
rnacentral:rRNA from 1 species